GACGUAGGGUGCAAGCGUUUGUCCGGAUUUAUUGGGCGUAAAGAGCUCGUAGGCGGUUUGUCGCGUCUGCUGUGAAAGACCGGGGCUCAACUCCGGUUCUGCAGUGGGUACGGGCAGACUAGAGUGCAGUAGGGGGAGACUGGAAUUCCUGGUGUAGCGGUGAAAUGCGCAGAUAUCAGGAGGAACACCGGUGGCGAAGGCGGGUCUCUGGGCCGUAACUGACGCUGAGGAGCGAAAGCUAGGGUAGCAAACGGG
rnacentral:rRNA from 1 species